AACCACUGCUGCACAAGUUCACCACGUAAAACAAGCACUAAGUACCCGGGAGCAUACCAAAUUAUUUCCAGCACAAAUUGGCUACAAUCUCAUUGUGACGUUAAGGGAUUACUUCAAUUAGACUCUCUCUUUGCUGCUCCACUGACGACUGACUGCAGUUGUAGCAUACUCACAGGAGGAACUGUGAUGACUGCAGCACAAACAGAGCAACACCACGAGCUGAACAUAAACAGGCUAUUGCAUUCAAGAGGCCAGCGGAUUGCUGAUGUUCCAAAAGAAGAAAGUCAUGCCAGAUUUGAACCUAUUCAUCACGUUCCAUGGAGUAGAUAAAAGGUACUGAGUAUUACUUUUGGGCUGUUAUCAUGGCACCAGGGCUCUGUUAGGGUGAUGCCUGCGCACUACUGAGGAGGAGCUCAGGUUCUCUCAGUUUACAGCUACAUCCCUUCUCUCUCAAGACACGAUACCGCUUCAAAACAGAAAUCAGAUGUAAUUAAGGGCAGACUGCCGUAACAACCUUUCCAGGCAAUUCUUAUUUUUCCUCAGAGCCUUGGCUUGCACCCAACUACAGGUCUGACACUUGAAUAAAGGGAAGAGCUGUCUUACCCA
rnacentral:lncRNA from 1 species